GAGGUUGUGGCUCAGCGGUAGAGCGCUUGCCUAGCAUGCAAGGCCCUCCCUGGGUUCCAUCCUCA
rnacentral:tRNA from 1 species